AUCGCUUCUCGGCCUUUUGGCUGAGAUCAAGUGUAGUAUCUGUUCUUAUCAGUUUAAUAUCUGAUACGUCCUCUAUCCGAGGACUUUAAAAAAAAAAAAAAAAAAAAAAGAAUCUGCCUCUGAAUACAGGAGACACAAGUUUGAUCCCUGGUCA
rnacentral:snRNA from 1 species